GGAAGUAAAAGUCGUAACAAGGUCUCCGUUGGUGAACCAGCGGAGGGAUCAUUACCGAGUUGCAAAACUCCCAAACCCACUGUGAACCUCUACCACUGUUGCUUCGGCGGAACCGCCCCGGGCGCACCUCCUCACGGGGGCGUGCCCCGGAACCAGGCGCCCGCCGGGGGACCGAAACCUCUGUAUUUUUUACUUGAGUACUCUGAGUGUGAUUUACAAAAUCAAAAUUAAAACUUUCAACAACGGAUCUCUUGGCUCUAGCAUCGAUGAAGAACGCAGCGAAAUGCGAUAAGUAAUGCGAAUUGCAGAAUUCAGUGAAUCAUCGAAUCUUUGAACGCACAUUGCGCCCGCCAGUAUUCUGGCGGGCAUGCCUGUCUGAGCGUCGUUUCGACCCUCGCGCCCGGCUUCUGUCGGGGGCGGUGUUGGGGAUCGGCCACACCCUCCAGAGGGAGGCCGGCCCCUAAAUCCAGUGGCGACCACGCUGUAGCCUCCCCUGCGUAGUACUAAAACCACCUCGCAGGCGGAGAGCGGUGCGGCCCGCCGUAAAACCCCCCGACUUUUACAAGGUCGACCUCAGAUCAGGUAGGAAUACCCGCUGAACUUAAGCAUAUCAAUAAGCGGAGGA
rnacentral:rRNA from 1 species